AUUGAACGCUGGCGGCAUGCCUUACACAUGCCAGUCGAACGGUAACGCGGGGCAACCUGGCGACGAGUGGCGAACGGGUGAGUAAUGCAUCGGAACGUGCCCAGAAGUGGGGGAUAGCCCGGCGAAAGCCGGAUUAAUACCGCAUGAGACCUGAGGGUGAAAGCGGGGGAUCGCAAGACCUCGCGCUUUUGGAGCGGCCGAUGUCAGAUUAGCUAGUUGGUGGGGUAAAGGCCUACCAAGGCGACGAUCUGUAGCUGGUCUGAGAGGACGACCAGCCACACUGGGACUGAGACACGGCCCAGACUCCUACGGGAGGCAGCAGUGGGGAAUUUUGGACAAUGGGCGCAAGCCUGAUCCAGCCAUGCCGCGUGCGGGAAGAAGGCCUUCGGGUUGUAAACCGCUUUUGUCAGGGAAGAAACGCUCUGGGCUAAUACCCUGGGGUAAUGACGGUACCUGAAGAAUAAGCACCGGCUAACUACGUGC
rnacentral:rRNA from 1 species